rnacentral:lncRNA from 1 species
GAAGGAGAAGAAGAAGACAAGUCUUCUUAUAUAAUUACACCCUGCCACUAUUCACUCCAAGCAGCUCGAAAUCUGAUAUCUUUCGACGGAGCUCCCUGAAUAUCCGUUUGAGCUCAAAUUUGACAGUCAUGUUCGGUUUUACUUAACGAGUCCAAAGAAAUUUUAAUAUUUCAGUUUCGACCCCGUUUGGUCACCGAAAGCUGUACCGAACUGUAAUCUUUAUCAGAUAGUUGUCGGAUUUUAUUUUCCACCUUUCGGGUGUUAGAAUAAUAUGAAACUUUAAAUCUAGCCUCAUAAAAAUAAUUCUGGCUUAUCCUCCAGUUUUCAUAAUUUUCUGACACUGCAUUUUCUGCUAAUUUAUCUGUCUGUUUCCAACAGAAAAUUCUAAAUCUUUUAUUUUCAUUCCGAUUUAAGCACAAGUCACUUCUGACUUAUAUUUUACUUCUCUAAAUUCAAUAAAAAUAGUUUCUCACAUUAUUUUUAUUUAUUUUUAUUUUUAUACCAAAAUCUGGUAUGUUACACAU